GUAAGAAUAUUCCGCAAUGGGGGGAACCCUGACGGAGCGACGCCGCGUGAACGAAGAAGGCCGGAAGGUUGUAAAGUUCUUUUCUGUUCGAGGAAUAAGUUUCGGAGGAAAUGCCGGGACGGUGACGGUAGGGCAGGAAUAAGCACCGGCUAAUUACGUGCCAGCAGCCGCGGUAACACGUAAGGUGCGAGCGUUGUUCGGAAUUAUUGGGCGUAAAGGGCAUGCAGGCGGGUCGCCAAGCUUGGUAAGAAAUACCGGGGCUCAACUCCGGAGCUAUAUUGAGAACUGGCGAGCUAGAGUUGCCGAAGGGUAUCCGGAAUUCCGCGUGAAGGGGUGAAAUCUGUAGAUAUGCGGAAGAACACCGAUGGCGAAGGCAGGAUACCGGCGGACGACUGACGCUGAGGUGCGAAGGUGCGGGGAGCAAACAGGAUUAGAUACCCUGGUA
rnacentral:rRNA from 1 species